AUCUGACCAUAGGACUUGGAAGGUCAUAAAGAGGGGUGUGAGUGGGAACCCAUGAGCUUCACAGUCAUGUUCACAGUGCUGACAAAUAUGAGCACCCCACUGCGGGGGUUGAGGUACCCCACACUGAUGACUCUCAGCCAGUGUUUAGUCUGGACUGACUGGUGACUGCUACCUUUGAAAGAACGUGGUAUAGGGCUGGCCUUGGUGACACCUACCUUUCAUUUGAGCAUCUGGGAGGCAGAAAACAGAUGGAUAUCUGUGAGUUCAAGGCUACCCAAGGCUACCUGAGCAGCUCCUCAACAGACCUUGUGAGUAGCCAGCAGAUGGAACUCCUGACCCAACCACCACUAACCGUCUCCAGAUCUGACCUUCAAAUGUCCCUCAAGGACCAAAUAGCAUCCAAGUGGAAUAUGUUCUUGUCCUAGAACCAUGCUUUCAACUUCAAACCUGGAGCUGAGAAAUUCAAAAACAUUUCUCUUAAAA